rnacentral:rRNA from 1 species
GACAGAGGGUGCAAACGUUGCUCGGAAUUACUGGGCGUAAAGCGCGUGUAGGCGGGUCGGCAAGUCAGGUGUGAAAUCCCUAGGCUCAACCUAGGAACUGCACUUGAAACUGCCGGUCUCGAGUGAUGGAGAGGAGAGCGGAAUUCCUGGUGUAGAGGUGAAAUGCGCAGAUAUCAGGAAGAACACCCGUGGCGAAGGCGGCUCUCUGGGACGGUACUGACGCUGAGACGCGAAAGCGUGGGGAGCAAACAGG